ensembl:lncRNA
CUCCUGAACAACAAACUAAUGAAUAAAUGCAUUAGUAUUGUUUUUAUCAAGUCGUCUUAUAUUGUCAUUUGUCACUUAUGCUACAAGCCCCAUAUUCGCAACAUGUUGGGCUACGCCCCCAUCAACAGCGCAAGACACAAACCAACGUGCCUGCAUUCUGACAGCGCUUCAAUGGAGACUAGCAGCUAACCACUGGAAUCCAGUGACAAUCAAGUGCCACCCCAAAUAAAAGACUGGCCAGAGCUGGCCCCCCCAGAAAUAAUGUCCUGGCUACGCUCCUGCCUAAAAGGAACAUGAACAUCAAAAGAUCUGAAACUUGAGUCCACUUCCACCAAACACGGAACAUGGUUAGAACCAUUGCGUUAAUCUGCUGAAAUGAUCCUUACGUAUGAAAACGGUCUUUCUAUUGGUGUCAAAAAGCUGCCAAAACAUGAUUACGCCGUGAUGUUUCCUUUUUUAAUGAAGCCACCUUUUGGCGGGUCGUGAUGUCAGGAAAUUACUCUGCGACUCACGAUUCAACUCAAUUAACGUUAGCCUGUUUAUCAACAGCACCGGCAAUCUGGUUAAUAUCCUAGAGGGGUAUGUUAAGAUAAAUGUGAAUAAAUGUUGCUGUUGAAUAUAAACAAGAACAAAACCUAUAUUGUAAUUCUUUUCUGGCAGUUGGGUUGAGACCGCAUUUGGACAUUCCUCAAGCUGCUGACGUUAACGUGAGGUAAUGAUGGUCCGUGCUACCUGUAAAUAAGAGUCCUAUUACCCCAAAAUCCUGUGCCUUUGGCUUUGCUAAAGAACAGGUAUUGAUAAAAGAUCAACUAUUCAUUGCUUCAGGUACUUACUUUGCCAGCAUGGACCCAGCUAUCCAAACUCCCUGUAGAAAUGUGAAGUAAAGUGGACUAAAGAUGUAAUAUUGAGGGGGAAGAGGACAUGGAGGCAGUAAAGAAGAAACCAGACAGGAGAGAUGGGAGUCUCUGGAGCUCAGCUCAGAAAGACAAACCGAGAUUAAAUUUCAAACAUUACUAUUCAAUCAACAUUAUUUGUCCCAAGGCAGCUAUAACUGCAGGUAUGCAUUUAAAAGGCAUAAAAACAUCCAGAAGAUAAUAUACACUCUAAAGGUCAGGAGCUGCUCUAGAUAGCGUGCUACACCCACACUAUAUCAUGUCUGAGAUACAAGACGUAUGAGCACAUAAAUGGUGACAGAGGACUGGACUGACGAUGAAAGAAAAGACAAAGAGAGCGAGGCGACUGAACGAGACUUGGCAAAAUUGGGAAGAUUGACAAAGGGGGGAGAGGCUUUGCAAAAAAAGAAGAGUACUUAGCAAAAGGAGACAGGAAAAUGCUUGUAAAGAGGAUGGAACGAUAAAAGAAAGCUGAUAAAAGGGGAGAAAUAUGCUUUAGCUGGAGCCUGUGCGAGUGAGAAAUUAUCUAAAAUGAUAUAAAAGAGCUUUAUGCACGCUUGCAUAAAGGAAAGAACACGCUUAAUGUGUGCUAUGCACUUUCCUCCCCGAAAGAAAAAAACCUUUUCCUUAAACGGCCGUCUCCUCUAUCGUUUCCUUCCAAGCUGCAAAUAUCAUAAAAGGCUUACGUGUGAUCAUAUGUCAGAAUAUGCAUGUGUCUGUGAGCGCGAGCAUGUAAAGUGUUGAACUAAGUGAAGUUUUGCUAUAAGCGCUCUGACAGUGAAGUGGCGUAAUGUGUUUCAGUCUAUAUCCAAUACCAACCUAAUUCAACCUAUUCAGGCUUAGCGGCUUCCAGCCAGCGCCAGCAGUGCUCCCACGCGCAGAAACAGGCCGCGGAGAGCGGGUUCCUCUUUCUGGUUCCACAUGUUUCUGUUCAACCAAAGUCAACACGCGUUUGAAUUUACUAGCGAGGAGUUGUCACCCUUAACCUGCACACUCGACCCCCCCCACCCCCCAAAAAAAGAGACAUUUUUCUAAUAAACUGCCAGAAAAGACUCACUGGAGACCACUUCUUGAAGGGCUAUCCAUUCCCAUGACGGCAUUUCUUUUGGCGUCACAAGAUAGUAAAAACACGGUCCACUCACACAAGCGUGCGUCGACGCGGCAUAACAAUCCAAAUUUAUGUUUUAAUUUGUGCUGCACGCAGGGCCAAAGUGAAUCUCUCUCUGACGUCAUCACGCGUACAUAAAUAAAUAUGGCCGAGUCCGGCUGCACCGACUGGAUACAGUGCCGUGUGCCGUUUGCAAGGCAAGCCUGUCGUGGUGGUGAGGCUGCAGCCGUCUCACCUUGCAUAUCUUUUAUCUUUACAGACUAUGCAAGGGGCUCACACACAGGCUUCCCAGAGUCCACGAGGUUCAGAGCCGCCGCGUGAGCUCGCCUUCUCAAAGGGUAUCUGCUCUUCUCAAUUAUGAAAAAAAGCACAAAAACAAGCAGGCAUUGAAAAUGCAUUUUUUUUCUUCUCUGAAGUCUGGGCAUCAUGAGAGUUAAAAAAAAUUCAAUGUAAACAAAAUUCAAUUCCACCCCUUUCCACCUUAAAACAGCCUAUCCUCAUACAACUUGCAUCUGCUUGAAGAUGCCGGCUAAGAUGUGGAAGGCGAAUCUUAUCUCAUAAAUAUUGAUGUUACUCUCUGAAGGUGGGCAAACUCUAUUCUGUAAAUAAGGUGUAUAUUGAGAUUAGCCAGCGUUUCAUUUUGAUGCGUACAACACGUAUCAAAUGGCUGCCUGUGCCACAAAGGAGCGCAUCACACUGCCAGUGCUUCAACGCGGAGAAUGAAGCAAACACGCGGACUGCGAGACCAAACCUUUCUUCUUCCUGUGCGGCGUCCUUUCGCCCUGAAUGGUGCCAUUACUUGAGUGCAGCCCAGGAUGGUAAAAAUGGAAAGGGAAAUAAAAAAAACACAGAUUGUAUGAGUGGUGAAAGGGCUGAGAGAGGGAGAGAUGAAUUUGCACACAUCUCGCUUUGGCCUUUUUAAGAGGCGGAAGCUGUCUCUGGUUUGUCAUUUAGUGACGAGCGCGUGAACGGAAUAGGGUCGUGACAUUAACAGCACGAAGAGGGAGGCGGAGAAAAGGAGCGGCAAGGGGGGGGGUUAUGGUUGCAGAAGAUGCUGGAAGAAGGAGUAAAAGAUGGAAAAGAGAAAACGGGGAAAAAAAACAAAGGCCGAGAGGAAGAAUAGAGGCUGAUGAGAGACAACAAGGAAAAGUGCAGGACUGAGUCAUCUUUUGAGUGCAGGAACAGGAGGACAAGAGGAAGAAUGAGGUGAUAAACAAAAGCACAGAGGCGAAUGUUGAAUUGUGCUGCUGCUCAUUAUAUUUCAACGCAUGGAUUCUGUCGGGGCGCGCUGGAAGCUGUGCGUCUGCGUGAGCGAGAGAGAUUGCGCAACAGUUUCAUCCAGAGACGCAUGUCAGUUCACUCACUUGUAUUGAACACAUCUGUAUCUGCACAAACGGACAUUUGAUGAUCCCGCAUUGCGUUCAUGUAAGCUGGAGCCCUCAGCCUUUUCAACCAAAUACUGUAACACACACACACACACACACACACAAUCAAAUGAGAGAACACAGCAGGUGUCCCACAGCUGGGCACUGAUGACAGAGAGAGGGAGAGGGCGUUCGACCUGCUGUGCGAACAGGCAGUAUUUCCAUACAAAUCAAUGGACCGUCAUGCUAAGCUCGGGGACACAUCGGGGGACAAGCCGAAGUCACACACACACGAUAAAGUUGUGUGUGACACACACACACACACACUCACCACAUCUGACAUGCGGACACAGGCAACUGCAAUCACCUGCCCUUUACACUAAGAACAUGCGCACACACGGAGCCAGCUGGCUGGAGGUAGCACUAGAGGAUGGGUGAGCAGGCAAGGUUACUUUCACAGUCAUCUGCAGCACUGAUUACCUUUUGUUACUGCUCCUCAUGACUUUGCUCUCUUGCAGAGACUUCUCGGUUGGAAGUUGUUUCUCUCGUAGUCCCGUCUUAUGUGAAACCGCUAGUUAGCUUAGCUGGACGCAAAGACUAAAGAUUUGAAAUCUGUUCAAAAGUGCACUAAUGCCCGUUAUGUUGUGUGCUGGGAUGUUUCAAUUUAACUUUGGACAGAAGUCAAGCUAUGCCUUUUGCGUCGUAUUGAAUGUACAGACAUGUGUUUUAAGUGUCCACAUCUAACGGCAAGAAAGGAAACCAUGUUUUUUUACAAAAUUUUUAGCUACUAUUCAUGAGAAAUCUUAAAUCUGCAUCAUCCAGUGAAGGUUUAGACACAAGUGUGCAAAAUGUCAGCCAGGCCUUAAUGCCAAGCUUCAGUACCCGAUGCUGAUGUGGCUGAAUGGUUGACAUCACAUCUGAAAGUCAUGUUUGGCAUAUAAGUGUGUAAAUAUACAGUACCAGUCAAAAAUGUGGACAAAAUAUGUCUGACUGAUACUGUGUGCAAUAAAUAUACUUAGUAAUGCUGCAUCUUCAUCCUAAUCUCUGAUACCCGCAUGGGUUAAAUAAACAACCCAGAUAUCAUUCACAGUUUAAUUAGUUUCCACAUGUUUGGAUACGUCUUCCUCUUUUACUUUUUCAUCUCCCUCACCCAAAACAUCUUUGCUUGCAUUAGAAGUUGGUGCCACAUAACAUGUUGGGAGCAGAAAUUGGAUACUUUUAUGUUUUGGGCCGAAAAACUGUGAAACGCUUAAUGAAUUUCAGCCCAAAAACAGUCUGAUGGAAAUGGAAAUGCCAAAAAAACGCAUUAUUAGUUUAAAAAAAUACAACCCAUAAUGGUCAAAUCCCAUUGCACGCCAAUUUUAUCUGCCAGCAUCGUCUUUUGUGAUGGGGAACAAGAAUUAAAUAUCGCAUUAGAGAAUGCGUAUUAAGAGGAUAAGAGCAUCCCUACAACACUGACAAAAUUGUCCAGAGAUGAGGAGAGAAAAGGACAAAGGGAGCAUAGAGGAUGGAAAAAGGUUAAAGACGGAGGUUGAAUUACCCUGAGUGCCGGGAUGAACAAAGACGUGGAGGACAGAGCCCGAGCGAGGGCCAUUCAUGGUCUGCUGUUUGGUGAAAUAAAACACAAGGCUGGAGAACGAGUGAGAUGAAGAAUUGAGGGGGGGGGGUGAUCAAACAAGCGGCCGGAGAGGGAAAUGAGAAAGAAAGCGGAGCCAAUUCAUUAUUAGCCCGGGCAGGCUGGACAGCCAGAGACGAGAUGGAUGAAGGGAAGAGAAAUAGAGUUCAGGACAGAGAGAGCGAGAGAGAAAGGGGGGGAGAGAGAGAGAGAUAGGAAAUGCAGACAAACAAGCCAUCAUCUAUCCCAUCCUCUCCCUCCAUUGUUGCUCAGCCCCACUUAAAGGUCGCCACUCCUUACUUCCAACUUCGUCGACAGAGAGACUGAAGGACAACGGAGCGGAGAAGAGAAAAACCCCCAGUGAAGAUUUAUCUAUCGAGAGGGAGGGAAGAGCGGCGGCGGGCGGGCGCUUGAGAAUUCUUGAUCAUUGCCACGGCGACCAGUCACCUGGCAACCGGGUACACAAUUGCUGCGGUAGCCUUGGCGACGGCGUGGUCGCCGUUGGAUGCGCUUAGAGGCAGGCAGGCAGGCAGGCGGGCAGGUAGGCAGAUGGAAGUGGUGGGGAGAGAAGUGUGAGGUGCAGGGCAGGAGGGCGAGAUGGAGCGGUGGGGGUAGGAACAGGAGGAGUGAGGAGGAGGAGCAGGUGUAAACACAGAGCCGGUAUAUCACACCUCAACAAGUGCAGAGGAUCGGCCAAAUGUGUGUAAAGACAUAAUGAGAAAUGUAAUGAGCUACUGACCGGGAGAAUGGCCCACCAUAUGUGACCCUGCAUGAAGGUGUUUGUGUACCCUGUGUGUGUGUGUGUCUUUUCUUUUCUUCCACCCAAGCAUUUUCCUUUUUCAUGUUAAAUGUGUGGCGGCUGUUUUGGCCCUCAUUUGCUCCAGCACUAAUGAUUCUAGUAGCGCUGCAAUGAGUCACAUGUUUGUCCAUAAUGACGCUGACUAAUCAGGACCCGCCUUACUACAUUUUUGUUUCCCUUCACCUGGCCGAACUUUCCGGUGAUUCACAUGUACUUCGGAUGAAAAGGGACAAUGCAUAUUCAUGUGAAACACCCACUUGUGUGAGAAGACAUGGCAUGACGCAACAUCAAUCAAUGAAAACAAACGUGAAUACCUGCGCAUGCAUUCACACUAAAUUGAUCAAAAACACAGUGGAGCAAGACCUCACUAGCACACGCAUACUCUAAAUGAGUCGGUUUAGAAGUGGACAUUCUGCAUGGACGUGAUUUAAUAGUUAACAUUUCAGAUGAGACUGAUUGAGGCUUUGGGGCUCAACAUUGCCAAAAUGUAGUUGUUUUGUGUGUGUGUGUGUGUGUGUGUGUGUGUGUGUGUGUGUGUGUGUACUGUAGUACAGCCUAUAAGCCCAUUAGCCCCAGGUUAAGUGAUUUACAGCUUCAGCUUUAAGCUCCUCCUGCAAUCUCAUCCCCAAUACCCCUGUCUAUCUGCUCCCUCGAUCUGCCUACUUUAUCUGGGAGAUUACACACACACACACACACACACUCUCAUGCACACACACCUGUCACUCUGCGCCUGUAGACACGCUGCCAGACACCACUUGGUAAAGACACAAGCUCGUCGUGUACAGACAACGAAUACAAGACAAGAAAUACACUGAUCGCAAGCGUUGUGCGUGCGCCUUUUGGCUUAUUAGGAGGCGCAGGGUUCCUGGAGCCCAACACAAAGGAGGUGUUUCAUGUGCUCUGUAUGUUUGUUCUCAUUGUGGAUUCCCUUUGAUUACCGGCGUCCUCAUCGAUGCAUCUAAUGUCUCUACGCACUCUGUCACUUUCUAAUGGUGUGUGUGUGUGUUUGAGAGAGAAAGCGAAAUAUGUAAAAGGAAAAAUUGCGUGUGCGUGUGCGUGUGCGCGUGCGUGCGUGCGUG